CACGGGAGGCAGCAGUGGGGAAUUUUGGACAAUGGGCGAAAGCCUGAUCCAGCAAUGCCGCGUGAGUGAAGAAGGCCUUCGGGUUGUAAAGCUCUUUUGUCAGGGAAGAAACGGUGAGAGCUAAUAUCUCUUGCUAAUGACGGUACCUGAAGAAUAAGCACCGGCUAACUACGUGCCAGCAGCCGCGGUAAUACGUAGGGUGCAAGCGUUAAUCGGAAUUACUGGGCGUAAAGCGUGCGCAGGCGGUUUUGUAAGUCUGAUGUGAAAUCCCCGGGCUCAACCUGGGAAUUGCAUUGGAGACUGCAAGGCUAGAAUCUGGCAGAGGGGGGUUAGAAUUCCACGUGUAGCAGUGAAAUGCGUAGAUAUGUGGAGGAACACCGAUGGCGAAGGCAGCCCCCUGGGUCAAGAUUGACGCUCAUGCACGAAAGCGUGGGGAGCAAACAGGAUUAGAUACCCUGGUAGUCCACGCCCUAAACGAUGUCUACUAGUUGUCGGGUCUUAAUUGACUUGGUAACGCAGCUAACGCGUGAAGUAGACCGCCUGGGGAGUACGGUCGCAAGAUUAAAACGUCAAAGAGUAGUGACGNGAGAGAGACGACGACGACGACGAGGAGGGAGGAG
rnacentral:rRNA from 1 species